AUCAGUUCAUGGUGUGAGGAGUCUAGAAGAAAAGAAAGUAACAAAAACGGUUGCUGACACAGCAUUUGGACUUAUUGUUAUGACCGGUAUGACCUCUUAUGAGUGCCGUUAUAUUAUUAACAGGAAAAUUGUUUUAAUUUUGGUUGAUCGAAUGUUUUAUAUCAGAUGUUGAUCUUUUAAAGAUAGGUGUAUAUUUUUGCUAUUAUUUCUAUGAAAGGGGAGGUACGGAUAAAGUACCAAACC